rnacentral:rRNA from 1 species
UACGUAGGGUGCGAGCGUUGUCCGGAAUUAUUGGGCGUAAAGAGCUCGUAGGCGGUCUGUCGCGUCGAUCGUGAAAACUUGGGGCUUAACCCUGAGCUUGCGGUCGAUACGGGCAUGACUGGAGUUCGGCAGGGGAGACUGGAAUUCCUGGUGUAGCGGUGAAAUGCGCAGAUAUCAGGAGGAACACCGGUGGCGAAGGCGGGUCUCUGGGCAACAACUGACGCUGAGGAGCGAAAGCGUGGGGAGCGAACAGG